rnacentral:rRNA from 1 species
GCUCAGAGCGAACGCUGGCGGCAGGCCUAACACAUGCAAGUCGAACGGACCCUUCGGGGUUAGUGGCGGACGGGUGAGUAACACGUGGGAACGUGCCUUUAGGUUCGGAAUAGCUCCUGGAAACGGGUGGUAAUGCCGAAUGUGCCCUUCGGGGGAAAGAUUUAUCGCCUUUAGAGCGGCCCGCGUCUGAUUAGCUAGUUGGUGAGGUAAUGGCUCACCAAGGCGACGAUCAGUAGCUGGUCUGAGAGGAUGACCAGCCACAUUGGGACUGAGACACGGCCCAAACUCCUACGGGAGGCAGCAGUGGGGAAUCUUGCGCAAUGGGCGAAAGCCUGACGCAGCCAUGCCGCGUGAAUGAUGAAGGUCUUAGGAUUGUAAAAUUCUUUCACCGGGGACGAUAAUGACGGUA